ACGCAUAGUAAGUGAAGAAAAAUGGGGUUUUCCUCGUAUGACGUAGUGUACUUUCACUUCACGCACUAGAUUGAUAGUAAUAAUAACCAAUAGUAUAAACAAAGUGAUGUUUGUAAUUUACUUCUGGAAAAAGCUAAUGAUUUGUAAGAUUAUUAGUUAUUUCCACACGACAGACUGAGUAAAGUUGUGGUAAUGUGUUGAUUUUAUUUAUACCGCAGUAGUUGCAAACAAGACGUUCGGCCGAUGGUAAGCGGGCACCGGAACCUAUGAGCGUUUCCCGACUUUUUGUCUAACCCUUUGAACGUAAAUAUAGGUACUUUAUAGGCGUCGCGAGUUGGGAAUUUAUCUCGAAUAAUGCUUAUAUUAUUAGAGUUAUAAGUGAGCAAUAUCGUACGCUGUAAAAGCAGUGGCGUAACCUUCAAGUAAGGUUUAUAUUUGCUAACCUUGUAUCAAUGAUGAUGGCGAGAUUGGCGAGUGCGUGACAUUUUUGGAUAUGAAAAAACCGGGCAAGUGCGAGUCGGACUCGC